AUGGCUAAAUGUUGGAGUUUUAACCUCUUCAAGUGUCUUUUCAUUCAGGGAAAAAUAUAUCAUGAACCCAAGGAUGCAGGUUUUUCAUUUUGCCACACUAUCAAUAGUCCUUUGGCCAGUCCCUCAAUGUUAGAAACACAAUCCCCACUCCUGACCCCGCUGUUGGAGAGGCUUUGUGUGCCCCAGAUAACUUGAAUGUGAGUAUUGAAAAGCAGGGCCAGAUUAAGAUGUACAUCAUUGAAGUGUGUCAGGAGCCUGUGUUACAUGGCUGCAACUCAUUUCUGCAGCAGGCCGGAUUAAAUUUGUUAAUAAGCAUGACAGUUAUUAAUAACAUGCUUGCCAAGUCUGCUUCAGACUUGAAGUUUCCUUUGAUAUCAGAGGAAAGUGGAAGUGCUAAGGUUCAGCUUUUAAAACCGCUGAUGUGUUUGUCCGAAAAGCCAGUCUUGGCAGGGGAAUUGCUCAGUGCCCAGAUGCUAUUGUCAUUCAUGACCCUCUUUAUCAGAAAUGGAAACAGAGAGAUGCCCCCGGAAACCCUUGCCCUGUAAAUGGCCACCUGGAACACAAUGGGACUGAAUCCACCCCGAAUCCACUUGGCCUGCAGAUAUCAAAGAAUCUGCGGAGGGUGCUAGGGAAGACCCAGCCUUAGCGAUCACCACAUCACUGGGUGAAAGUGCCAGUGCUAAAUGGAGGACCACACUCCUAUUGGCCAGGCAGGGCCUCCCACAGAGCUUUGAAUAACUCCUUGGUUUUGCAGUCUGCAGGCAAAGUGCAAUGUAAAUUACUCCCUGGAAGCCUCCUUCAUGUGGUAAAGGGAUCACUCUGGCUGCCUGCUGUGGAUAAAGAACACCAAAUCAUAUGUUACCUAUGAUGGGGGUGGUCUCCCUCCCAGAGCAGAACCACUUUGCACAGACCAGCCCCACAUCAGAGCUUGAGCUGAAAAUGUAUUUGUUGUGGCUUAGGUUGAAUUACUUUUCAUCUACUCUCUUCUACACGAGCUGACAGAUGGGGAACCUAUUCAUCAAAAAAAGGGGACUCCCAUUCUAUCUACUGUACUGACUUAACCUCUUCCACCCAAGCCCACAUCUGUGUGUAUCAUCAAUAAAGUUGUGUGCUUCGAUUGGCAAAAAUAGA